rnacentral:lncRNA from 1 species
UUUCUUAACAAUCUCCUAAAUAUGUCUGCAUUGGUUUUGUUUAUUAGGAUUCAGCUUGAUUCUGAGUUACUACUUUUACAAUCAAAAAUUGCCCAGGAAAAGAAGGAUUUCAAUAAUGAACCUGUAAAGGAGUGGAUACGAGGUUUACCCAACUUCAGAGUCUCAGAGGGAACAAGAACAGGCAGUGCAGCACUUGACAUUGAAGUCCUGUGCAGAAAGAAGAGAGGUGAAAUUUGGAAGGAAACAAAGAGGAUUAUCCAAG